rnacentral:tRNA from 1 species
AGUUAAGAAGCAAACUGAUUAAGGCCCGGUAUCUUGAAAAUACUGAGAAAGAAGUUAAAAUCUUCUAUUAACUU